UACGAAGGGGGCUAGCGUUGUUCGGAAUUACUGGGCGUAAAGCGCGCGUAGGCGGUGAUCUUUGUCAGAGGUGAAAGCCUGGGGCUCAACUCCAGAAUUGCCUUUAAAACGGGAUCGCUUGAGUCCGAGAGAGGAUGGCGGAAUUCCUAGUGUAGAGGUGAAAUUCGUAGAUAUUAGGAAGAAACACCGGUGGCGAAGGCGGCCAUCUGGCUCGGUACUGACGCUCAGGCGCGAAAGCGUGGGGAGCAAACAGGG
rnacentral:rRNA from 1 species